rnacentral:lncRNA from 1 species
AUUACCCAGAACUCUUUGUCUGGGUCAGUCAAGAACCAUUUCCAAACAAGGACAUGGAGGGAAGGCUUCCUAAGGGAAGACUUCCUGUCCCAAAGGAAGUGAACCGCAAGAAGAACGAUGAGACAAACGCUGCCUCCCUGACUCCACUGGGCAGCAGUGAACUCCGCUCCCCAAGAAUCAGUUACCUCCACUUUUUUUAAUCGUAACACCUCCAUUUGUAUUACAUAUGGUGUAUGGGUAUUGAUGAGGUCAUGGUAUCAUAUAUGGGAUUUUUUUCUGUGUAAAUCAUCAAGUAUAAGAAGAAACUAUGGGACUCUGAGCCUUGCUUUAGAGAAUUUACAGUGGACAAAUAGGUGUCAUCAAACCAGUUUUUAAUCAUUCUGACUCAAGUGAAAACGCUCAGAAUUUCACACUGUGAAUCCACGUUUACAACCCUUACAGGUGGGCCUUCAGGCCUGGUUCGCUACAACAAUGUCUUCCACAACUCAAACUCCCACCGCGCUCACACAACCGGUCCACUCCUGCCUUUUCACUCACACAGCUCCCGACUGCUUCUUGCAGAGGCUGAGAGUCCCCCCCCCACCUUUUUUUUCAUUUAGAUGUAACAAACCUAGUAGUUUAUGUUCAUCAAUUGUCUGUAUAUCUCUAUAUUUUAUCCAUGUACUCUUUUGAUGUAUAGAAGUAGUUUGAAACUCAUUGUUUCCUUGUGGUAAGUGACCGAGAUGCUGCCACAGGACCUGAGACACUGAUGAAUGGUGCUAUUUUGGACUUUCAACAUGCUCCUUGGCGAGGUAGCUCUGAUGGAGUUAUUUUUUAUUUCCAUGUUCUAAGAAGGUGUUGGUACUCUGUUUCCCUGAAUGUUGUUCUCUAGACUGGAUUGACUUGUUUUCCUUGUGUCUUCAGUGUGGCUUUCUUCCUCAGUGUUGUAGGUUGAGCGAAUGCUACCAGAGUGUGAGAGACCAUUGUCUCGUUGGCUGGCGCUCACGGACAUGCAGUCACGGUAGCGGGAGCAAUCACAAAACUGUAAUUUACUUACCAAAUCUCUUCCUUUCCGUAGCCUCGCCUGCCUGACUUAGAGAAAGAAAAGCAAUAAUUUUACAGGCAUUUUGAGGUGUCUCUUUGGGUUCUUUCUGUUUGAAAGGAUAUUUGUCG